rnacentral:rRNA from 1 species
AUGAACGCUGGCGGCGUGCCUAAUACAUGCAAGUCGAGCGAACAGACGAGGAGCUUGCUCCGCUGACGUUAGCGGCGGACGGGUGAGUAACACGUGGAUAACCUACCUAUAAGACUGGGAUAACUUCGGGAAACCGGAGCUAAUACCGGAUAAUAUAUUUAACCGCAUGGUUCAAUAGUGAAAGACGGUUUUGCUGUCACUUAUAGAUGGAUCCGCGCCGCAUUAGCUAGUUGGUAAGGUAACGGCUUACCAAGGCAACGAUGCGUAGCCGACCUGAGAGGGUGAUCGGCCACACUGGAACUGAGACACGGUCCAGACUCCUACGGGAGGCAGCAGUAGGGAAUCUUCCGCAAUGGGCGAAAGCCUGACGGAGCAACGCCGCGUGAGUGAUGAAGGUCUUCGGAUCGUAAAACUCUGUUAUUAGGGAAGAACAAAUGUGUAAGUAACUAUGCACGUCUUGACGGUACCUAAUCAGAAAGCCACGGCUAACUACGUG